UACGGGGGGGGCAAGCGUUGUUCGGAAUUACUGGGCGUAAAGGGCUCGUAGGUGGCCAACUAAGUCGGACGUGAAAUCCCUCAGCUUAACUGGGGAACUGCGUCCGAUACUGGAUGGCUUGAGUUUGGGAGAGGGAUGCGGAAUUCCAGGUGUAGCGGUGAAAUGCGUAGAGAUCGGGAAGAACAUCGGUGGCGAAAGCGCUCUGCUGGACUGCAACUGACACUCAGGGACGAAAGCUAGGGGAGCGAAUGGG
rnacentral:rRNA from 1 species